rnacentral:rRNA from 1 species
GUGCCAGCAGCCGCGGUAAGACGGAGGGUGCAAACGUUGUUCGGAAUCACUGGGCGUAAAGGGCGCGUAGGCGGACUCGUAAGUCGGGAGUGAAAACUCGGGGCUCAACCCCGAGCCUGCUUCCGAAACUGCGAGUCUUGAGGACCGGAGAGGAAAGUGGAAUUCCUAGUGUAGCGGUGGAAUGCGUAGAUAUUAGGAAGAACACCAGUGGCGAAGGCGACUUUCUGGACGGUUCCUGACGCUGAGGCGCGAAAGCUAGGGGAGCAAACAGGAUUAGAUACCCUGGUAGUCCUAGCCGUAAACGAUGAGUGCUAGGUGGUGGUAGUUUCAACACUUUCACCGCCGCAGCCAACGCAUUAAGCACUCCGCCUGGGGAGUACGGCCGCAAGGUUGAA